UUAUAUUACGAACUUAUGUUAAUUGCACGUAUUUCCGUAUAUAAAUAGUAGCGGGGACCACGUAAUAUUUUAUGUUAUAUAUAAAAAAGGGAGGGCCGCCAAAAUCAUUUCCGUACCCCUUUUUUUCCUUUUCCUUUAGUAAUAAUAAUAAUUUCUUUCGGGUAUUUAACCGUCGUAUAGUUGCUAGCCUACCGUAUAAUAACUUGGAUUAAUAUAAAUACCAGGGUAUUUAUAAAUUAUAAAUUUUAGGGAUUCCAACCUUAUAUUUUUAAUACAUUUAAUUAUUAAAAAUAGUAGUAAACCUUAUAUUUUUAAUAUAUUUAAAUUUAUGGCCGUUAAAAGGUAAAUUGUACAGCGAAUUCUAAAUUAGGGUAUUUACCUUUAGGCAAUUAGGUUAAUUUUUAAAUUAAAAUUUAAAUUACCCUAUAAUGGAAAACAACCUUAUAUUGGGUUUCCCAGGCCCAAUUCCACCAAAUAGGGGCCCUGAACCCAGCCCGAACGAAAUUUUAAUCGUUAAAUUACAGGCCCAAAACCUGCAACUAAAAUAUUAAUUACGCAAAUAAAUUAAUUUUAACAUAUAAUUUGAUAACUAGCAUUUUAUUAAGGUUAAAAAAUAGUAAAUCUAUUAAUUUUAAUAAUAUCACGGGUAUUAAUACCCCUAAUAGCGGUAAUUUGGAAGCCAACCCACAAAUUAUCAACGUUAAUACUAUUACCACAUUAUUUAAUAUACCUGGGAAUUUGAUUUUACAUAACGAGAUAGGUAAAGAAUUAUUAAAACAGGUAUUUUCUUUUCCUGAAAAUUGCAAAUUAAUGAAAAUUAGGAAUUUCGGCCUGUGGAAACAAAUAUUUAUAAUAUAAUUUAAGGUUAUAAAAACUGCGGAAUUUAUUUCCAAUUUUAAAAUUGGUUAUAACUUACCGGAAUAUGAAUAAUCGGUUUUAUUAUUAUUUAUUAAAAAUAACUUAAUUAAAAAAAAUUGAAAAUUAUUUAUAUGGUAUUUUAAUUUUAUAACGGCCUAUAAAAUUUUGGAAAAAUAAUUAUUCCGUUACAUUUUAAAUUAACCAAAAUGCGUUCUAUUGGAAAUUCCACGCCCUAAAGUUUUCGAAAUUUAAAAGGUUAAUACUAAAUUUAAUAACCGUUUUAAUUGUUUGAUGAUUAGAUUAACAAAUAUUAGCGUGCGAAUUAACCCUAUUAAUAUACGAGAUAAUAUUUACGGGCCCUGGAAGGUACGUUUUUUAUUUAACCCGAACGCCAAUAUAAUACCUAACGGGCGUUAUAAAUUAUAACCCAAAAUUCGGAUUAAUUAAAUUUGCAAUAUUUUAUAACAGAUUUUAUAUCCGAAAAUUCGAUUUCAGGUUUUACAACCGCCAAAAUUAUUAAUUAUAGGGUUAAAACCGAAACUUAAGUAAAAGAAACGUUAAAAAGAACGUUAAAAAGGAAAAUAACGGGCAAAGUAUUACCUCCAGACUACGAAAAAGGAAAAUUAACCACUAAUUUAAAUUUGCUUAAUAUAAAAAAACAAUUAAUCCUUCAAUUUUAACGAAUCGAACGUUGGAAUUUUUAUAAUUUUAAUGGGUUUCGAAUUAUUUACAGGUUCGAUUCCAGGUAACGUUAACAUAUACGCAACGUAUAAUAUUUUGAAAUAGGUAAACGAUUCGGGCGGUAAUAUACUAUACCGGAUAUUGCAAUAAAAGGUUAAUUUUGUUAUUAGCGGGGUUAUAAAAUUACGCCCAGAAUCGGAUUCGGAACCCGAUUAUACCGGUAAAACGUUAAAACCACAAACAUUAGCAAUUGAUUCCUAAAAUUUAAAUAAAACCUGGAAACAGCGUAAAUAAAGAUUUUAAACCCUGAAAAUUAAAUUACCCGAUCCUAUAUAAUAUAGGUGAUACGUAUUAUAUUUUUGCAAAUAAGCAAUCUUUUACUAAUUAUACCCCCGGUUUAACAAUUCAAAUCGGUACAGGAGGUGGCCCUAUAAAAUUUACAGGUAACGGUAUUAUUAAAAUACAAGUCCGCUACGCCCAAAGAUUUGACGAAUUUAAAAGAAUUACUUUAAAUAACGUCUUAUAUAUCCCUUUGUUUGGAAUAAAUAUUGUUAAUAGCCUUAUAUAUUAUAAUAUAGGGGGCGUAUUAUAAAAGUUUACCACAUAUAAUCGGGAUUUUAAAACUUAAAAACGUCUAAAUACCGCCAAAAAUUGGUUUUAUUUGGAAAUAAAAAAAUGCAAUAUUUUUACUCGAAAUUUAUAUUUACGGUUUCGAACUACGUUAAUAUAAUUAGUAAAUAUAAUACCGUCUUUAAUUUAAUUUUAUAAGGGGUUAUAAAAAAUUACGCAACCCCGUUAGAAAUAAAAUUAAUUCAUAUAAUUUUUAAAAACCAAAACAAUUGUAAAAUUUAUACUAAUUCGGAACCGGAAAAGGAUAGGGUAACGGAAAUAUUAAAUCCCGAACAAAAUGAAAAUAUAACUUUAUAUUUACCUCUAAUGUAAAACUUUAAUAUAAUAAACCCUAAAAAUCCAUAUAAAAUUGGGCCCCGUAAACCCGAUUAACCGUUGAAUAACCUUUUUAUACAACCAAAUAUAAAAGGGGUUAAUAUUGAGAAAAAAGGGUUUCCCACAUAAAAAGUCCGUUAUUAAAACCUUUUUAAUACCAAAAUAAAUGCAAACCCCUAUAAAUUAUUCUUUUUAAACCCAAAUCAAAUUAGCAAUAAUUGGGUAAAGGUUAAAGAAAACGAAAUUACAGGCGAUUAUAAUAAAGUGCAAGUCCAAAAAGCCCUGUUAUAAUAUAAGCGUUUAGGGUAUUUAAAAUUAUUAUUAUUUAAAGAAACCGCUAAAAACGCAAACGGUUUAUUUAAUUUCGACAAGAUUAGGGUUAUUAUUUGCAUUAUUUCCAUCAAAACCACCUUUAUCAAACGUACAAAUAAAAAAACACUUCUUAUACCCCCUAAUAUUUUUAAUUUUAUAAAAAGUAAUAUAAUAAUUUUUAAACCUAACUUUUAUAAUAAAAAACCCGUAUUUUUAUUAUUAGUGGAUGGAAUAUUACGUUUUCGGUCGUCGAUCCCGUUACGAAAUAAAAUUGGAUUUACGGUUUUAAUAAUUACCAAAAGGUUUUUUGGGAUUUUAAAAUUUUAAAAUUGGUUUGCAAAUAAAAAUGUUAACUUUAAUAUUUUUAACUUUUAUAACCACGGACGAAACGGGUUAACGGAACGGUCCGGUAAAAUUAUUUUGGAUAAAUUUAAAUUUAUUAUUAUAACGGUAAAACUACCAUUAUAUUUAUAAUAUUAUUUAUUACGGGCCGUGGUUAAUUUAAUUAACCGUAUAGCGGUAGUUAAUAGGAAAUUAAAGUUUUAUAAAAAAGUUUAUUCCGAAUUUUAAUUUGGAUUAUUAUAUAAAUUUAAUUUAGGUUACUUACGGGUUAUUAGUACCAUAUACCAGGUUAUAAUACCGUUGGAAAAACGCCAGAAAUCCAACAAAUUGGUUCCCCGUACCAAAACAAUAAAACUUUUAACCCAUUUAUCCAAUUUUAUAACGUUGGUUUACGCCCCCGUUAAACGGACUAUAUAUACAACCUUUAUUGUAAAAGCUUUGAAGUGUAUACCCGUUAAAAGUUCAAUUAUUUUAGGGGAAAAGCUACAAAUUUUAAAAGGGGAAAAUCCAAAUUUAAAGGGGGACUUUAAUUUUAAAUUUAAAAACAAAAUUUACAGCGACAAAAAUUUGGGUUUAAUAAAUGAUAAUCCCCUAUUUUUCGCAAUUAUAAUAUUUCCCCGGCCUAUAUAAUUUACUAUUCGCCCUCCAAAAUUUAAAACGGUAAAGGUGCCUAAUUUAACAUUUAAAAUAACGAGAAUUCCGGUGUUUUUCAUAUUUAAAAUAUGGAAUAUGGAAUUAAAUUCGCAAUUCGAAAACCCAAGUCCAAUAAAUAUUAAUUACGUGCAUUACUUUUAUUAUUAAACCAAACAAAAACCAAAAAAACCCUAUUAAAAACGGUGAACCAAAAAAUUACUAAUAAACCCUAAGAAACGAUGGGAAUAUUAAAUAAUUAGCAAUUUUAACGCUUAAAUUCGACCAAAUUAUUAUUACAAAGAUUUUCCGUUUUAUUUUUAAAAUUAAAAUGUUUACAAACCCUAAAUUAAUUUUUCCCCGGCCGGUAUUUAGGUUAAAAAAGGAUAAAAAUAAUAGGCUUAUAAAAUAUAAAACCAAAUCUGUUCUUAGGGGGCUUUUACAGGUUAAAAAACCUAAAUUAUACCGGGUUUAAUACCCACCCUGCACCUGCGUAUUAAUUAUUUUGUACCAAGUUAAAAAAUUCACUUUUGCGUGCGAAUUUAAAAAUGGUUUGUCAGCAAAUAAAGGUGUUUUUUUAAUAAACCCAUACAUAUUAGUUUUUCGGAAAUCCAUAUGCGGCACCUGAAGCCUUUUUGGCGUGCCGACCCCCAUUGCGAUGUCGGAAAAUAUAUAAAAGGACAAAGCAAAAUUUUCCCACCAAUAUAUUACCGUCUAUUUGCGUAUAACGUUUUAUAUUUUAAUGCAUUUAGCGCUUUUAAUACCUGUUAGCAACUACGCCGCAUUUAGGGUCUAUCCCCUAAAUCCCCUGUAAAAACUUUAAUUAUUAAUAAAAUUAACCUAAAUAGCGUUGUUUCUACCUUUUAAAAAAUAAUUUGGAUGUUUCCCAAUUUGUUUAAUUUUUUACUAAAAAGUCAUAUACUAUUAUAAAUUUCCAUUAAAUAUUAUAAUAAAUAAAAAUAAAACAUUUACAAGUAAAUUUUGAAAAAGAUUAUAUUACAAAUCAAAAAUUAAAAAACGUAUAUUUACAAUAUUUUACACGCAAAUAAACAGGUAAAUCGAAAUUUAUAUUUAAAUAAUAAAAUAAUAUUUUAAGUAUUAGGCAGGAGAAUAAUAAGACAUUUGAGCCCAAUUUCAACCCACAAUUAAAUAUAAUUAUUAUAACGCACCCUUAAAAAUAAUAAAUAUGUUAGGUAUAAUAAUAUUUAUAGAUAGAAAUGGAAACUUCCAUUUACAACCCGAAGAUAUAUUAUUAAAAAGGAGAUAAAAUAGUAUUAAUAAUAUAUAAUUGGUUUGAAAAAACUUGGUAAAUUAAAAAUAAAGAAAUUGCGAAAGAAAUAAAUGUGAAUAAGAGAACAGUAUGAAAAGUAUUAUAAUACAAAACACAAAUUUAAGGAGUUUAAACGGAAUAAUUGGAUAUAAUUAUUUAUUUGUCAUUUUAAAUUUA
rnacentral:sRNA from 1 species